UACGUAGGGUGCAAGCGUUGUCCGGAAUUAUUGGGCGUAAAGAGCUCGUAGGCGGUUUGUCGCGUCUGCUGUGAAAAACCCGAGGCUCAACCUCGGGCCUGCAGUGGGUACGGGGCAGACUAGAGUGCGGUAGGGGAGAUUGGAAUUCCUGGUGUAGCGGUGAAAAUGCGCAGAUAUCAGGAAGAACACCAAUGGCGAAAGCAGCAUUUCUUGGGACGGGUACUGACGCUGAGACGCGAAAGCGUGGGGAGCGAAC
rnacentral:rRNA from 1 species